GUAGGUGGCAAGCGUUGUCCGGAAUUAUUGGGCGUAAAGCGCGCGCAGGUGGUUCUUUAAGUCUGAUGUGAAAGCCCCCGGCUCAACCGGGGAGGGUCAUUGGAAACUGGGGAACUUGAGUGCAGGAGAGGAAAGUGGAAUUCCACGUGUAGCGGUGAAAUGCGUAGAUAUGUGGAGGAACACCAGUGGCGAUGGCGACUUUCUGGCCUGUAACUGACACUGAGGCGCGAAAGCGUGGGGAGCAAACAGGGAUUAGAUACCCUGGUAGUCCACGCCGUAAACGAUGAGUGCUAAGUGUUGGGGGGGUUUCCCGCCCCUCAGUGCUGCAGCUAACGCAUUAAGCACUCCGCCUGGGGAGUACGGUCGCAAGACUG
rnacentral:rRNA from 1 species